GAUGAACGCUGGCGGCGUGCCUAAUACAUGCAAGUCGAACGAGGUGCUUGAGUAGCAAUACGAGAGUAUCCUAGUGGCGAACGGGUGAGUAACGCGUUGGUGACCUACCCCAAAGUGUGGGAUAACAGUUCGAAAGGACUGCUAAUACCGCAUGUGGUUAUCGGAUUUAGAAACUGAUAACUAAAGGAGCAAUUCGCUUUGGGAGGGACCUGCGUCCCAUCAGCUAGUUGGUGAGGUAAUGGCUCACCAAGGCUACGACGGGUAGGGGACCUGAGAGGGUGACCCCCCACAAUGGAACUGAAACACGGUCCAUACACCUACGGGUGGCAGCAGUAGGGAAUAUUGCACAAUGGGCGAAAGCCUGAUGCAGCAACGCCGCGUGUGCGAUGAAGGCCUUCGGGUCGUAAAGCACUUUUCUGAGGGAUGAGCAAGGACAGUACCUCAGGAAUAAGUCUCGGCUAACUACGUGCCAGCCGCCGCCGUAAAAC
rnacentral:rRNA from 1 species